rnacentral:rRNA from 1 species
AGCGAACGCUGGCGGCAGGCUUAACACAUGCAAGUCGAGCGGGCGUAGCAAUACGUCAGCGGCAGACGGGUGAGUAACACGUGGGAACGUACCUUUUGGUUCGGAACAACUGAGGGAAACUUCAGCUAAUACCGGAUAAGCCCUAACGGGGAAAGAUUUAUCGCCGAAAGAUCGGCCCGCGUCUGAUUAGCUAGUUGGUGAGGUAAUGGCUCACCAAGGCGACGAUCAGUAGCUGGUCUGAGAGGAUGAUCAGCCACACUGGGACUGAGACACGGCCCAG